rnacentral:rRNA from 1 species
GAUGAACGCUGGCGGCGUGCUUAACACAUGCAAGUCGAACGGGAAAUAUUUCAUUGAGACUUCGGUGGAUUUGAUUUAUUUCUAGUGGCGGACGGGUGAGUAACGCGUGGGUAACCUGCCUUAUACAGGGGGAUAACAGUCAGAAAUGGCUGCUAAUACCGCAUAAGCGCACAGAGCUGCAUGGCUCAGUGUGAAAAACUCCGGUGGUAUAAGAUGGACCCGCGUUGGAUUAGCUAGUUGGUGGGGUAACGGCCCACCAAGGCGACGAUCCAUAGCCGGCCUGAGAGGGUGAACGGCCACAUUGGGACUGAGACACGGCCCAGACUCCUACGGGAGGCAGCAGUGGGGAAUAUUGCACAAUGGGGGAAACCCUGAUGCAGCGACGCCGCGUGAAGGAAGAAGUAUCUCGGUAUGUAAACUUCUAUCAGCAGGGAAGGUAGUGACGGUACCUGACUAAGAAGCCCCGGCUAACUACGUG